rnacentral:rRNA from 1 species
CCUACGGGAGGCAGCAGUGAGGAAUAUUGGUCAAUGGUCGGGAGACUGAACCAGCCAAGCCGCGUGAGGGAUGAAGGUACAGAGUAUCGUAAACCUCUUUUGUCAGGGAACAAAGGCGGGGACGUGUCCCCGGAUGAGUGUACCUGAAGAAAAAGCAUCGGCUAACUCCGUGCCAGCAGCCGCGGUAAUACGGAGGAUGCGAGCGUUAUCCGGAUUUAUUGGGUUUAAGGGGUGCGCAGGCGGUCUGUUAAGUCAGCGGUAAAAGCCCGGGGCUCAACCCCGGCCCGCCGUUGAAACUGGCAGUCUCGAGUUGGAGAGAAGUAUGCGGAAGGCGCGGUGUAGCGGUGAAAUGCAUAGAUAUGGCGCAGAACUCCGAUUGCGAAGGCAGCAUGCCGGCUCCACACUGACGCUGAGGCACGAAAGCGUGGGUAUCGAACAGGAUUAGAUACCACAGUAGUC